UACAGAGGGUGCAAGCGUUGUUCGGAAUUAUUGGGCGUAAAGCGCGUGUAGGCGGCUUUGCAGGUCGGGUGUGAAAGCCCUCAGCUUAACUGAGGAAGUGCGCCCGAAACUGCAGAGCUUGAAUACCGGAGAGGAUGGCGGAAUUCCCCAAGUAGAGGUGAAAUUCGUAGAUAUGGGGAGGAACACCGGUGGCGAAGGCGGCCAUCUGGACGGCUAUUGACGCUGAGACGCGAAAGCGUGGGGAGCAAACAGG
rnacentral:rRNA from 1 species